GUAUCAUGGCUCAGGACGAACGCUGGCGGCGCGCCUAACACAUGCAAGUCGAACGAGAGAUGAGGAGCUUGCUCUUCAAAUCGAGUGGCGAACGGGUGAGUAACGCGUGAGGAACCUGCCUCAAAGAGGGGGACAACAGUUGAAACGACUGCUAAUACCGCAUAAGCCCACGGCUCGGCAUCGAGCAGAGGAAAAGAGUGAUCCGCUUUGAGAUGGCCUCGCGUCCGAUUAG
rnacentral:rRNA from 1 species